rnacentral:rRNA from 1 species
UACGUAGGCAGCGAGCGUUGUUCGGAAUUACUGGGCGUAAAGAGUGUGUAGGCGGUGCUCUAAGUUCGGUGUGAAAUCUCCUGGCUUAACUGGGAGGGUGCGCCGAAAACUGGAGUGCUCGAGCGUGGGAGAGGAAAGCGGAAUUCCUGGUGUAGCGGUGAAAUGCGUAGAUAUCAGGAGGAACACCUGCGGGGUAGACGGCUUUCUGGACCAUUGCUGACGCUGAGACGCGAAAGCGUGGGGAGCGAACAGG